UUUACCAGGUUAGGCUGCUUCUUCAGGCCGAGAGAGACUGUGAUUGUCUUUGUGCACAGUCAGGCUUGUUUCCCUUUGCCAGAAAUGGCAUAUCUUGGAUGCUACUUUUGUGGUUCAACAGGAAAUACUUUUAAAAUAUAGAAUCAGCAAAGAAGCUAUUUAACAGGAACUUAAAGUGCAGUAGAUUCUCACCUGACAGAGAGGGUGAAAUCUCCAGGGUUGCUUUUGCUCGGUCGGGCCAGAAAGCUUCCAUCCACGCCACGCGUCAGGAGAAGGUUCUCAGCCUCCACACCAGUGAUGUUGGGAUGAAACCACCUGCGAACACAAUCACACUGACUUCAACUGGCAUCCAAGUGAACAUCACUAUAAUGCCAAGUGACCACGAGAUAAGACCGUGGGUGUGAUGUGAACACUGAUGCUUACGAGUACAACAGAUAUCAGCAUCUUGUGUGACUUGUGUGAUUUCUGUGACUUAUAGUAAACAGUCAACAGCCGAGUCAACAUCCGAGUCUGCUGACUGUCUGCCUCCAAGAGCGUUAACAAAACAAAACAAGAUCAAAGCUUAAAAAAACGGUCUCAAACAAGGACGACGCUUUAGCUGAUUUGGGUUUGCUCUUGUUACAAAAGCAACACAAGAUGUGUGUUUAUAAUCUGUCGGUAAUUAUCGUGACAAGGAGUUUAAUAAACCCUCUUAGCGAAGAUGCUAACGGUAAACCCGUGACGUGUCCGUUAUCGUAGACUAUAUAAAGCAUGGGUUACAGUUGAUAACAACAACUAGUGGUCUGACAUGGACAGUGUGUGUGUGUGUGUGUGUGUGUGUGUGUGUGUGUGUGUGUGUGUGUGUUCUGGACAGUUAGACACCACACUCGGCUCUGACUAAACCUGUUAGCUAACUAGCCUUCAGACUGAAGCACAAACCAGCUAGCACGCUAACACAAGCAAGUUUGUGACUCAUUAAAACUUUGUGCGUUUGUUCCACUUUUACCUAAAGCCGGAGGCGUUUUAUAAACAACAACACUGCCGUGUUUAUUCUCGCCUCCUCGACACCACACUCUUGUUUUCCUUCCCCACAGCUCUCACCUCCGAGAUGUCAUCUUCUUCCUCCUCAGCCUUGUUUCCUCUCUCCGGAUUCUCAAGUCAGAUUUUAUUCACUUUCAACGCAAAGCGACUGCGCCGAAAUCCCCGCUGUUUUUCUCUGGCAAAAAACGUCAUAAGGAAAAGACCCGUUCAAAACGGGUGUAAAUAAAUGGACAUGUAAAAAAAAAA